rnacentral:lncRNA from 1 species
GGAGGAAUGCAGCAAAAAGCAUGAGGAAAAAAUGGAGAAGACAGAGAGUUAUGGGGAAAUAGGAGAUUCCUUAUCAGCUAGAACUUGUGCUGUAUGCAGCAAGAAGGCAGGAUUUCUGCUCUAUUCAGUGCCUGCACAUCCAUACACUCACACAAAUGAAUACACACGUGCAGAGAAUGUUCUGGUUUCUGAUAGUUUCCAGUCCCAUUUUGCUUUUUCCUGGGGACAGGUAUGUGAACCAAAAUAAAAGCGCAGACGGCAUUAUUCCAGUUGCGGUUCACACCUAGCUCUGGCGUUUAAGAAGCUUUUCCCAUCUCAGUGGUGAGCUACAGACUCCUAAAGUCUGAAAAGCGACUCAAUCGGGCACCGUUCCGGAGCCAGACGGGACAGGCGCGGCCUCCUGCUCAUGCGGCGUUCUCGUGCUGCCAUCGCGUGGGGAAGAGCCCCGUUCCGUCACCUCGCGUGGAGGUGGGCGCUAACGUCAGCUGUGCAGAGUCGUAACGUGGGCUCUUUGUAUCCCCAUCUUUCUGUUUUGUUUUUUUUUUUUUUCUUUCCUUGUUUUUAUUUUCUUCUAAAUUUAGAUAUCUUUCAUCCAAGCGGCAUGAAUGUGAUUAAAGCAGCAAGACAUUAUGGGAAAUCGGUGUUCCCACGGUUCCCUCGGAGGCUCUCCCCACACACAACCGCCCGGGCAGGCGCUCACUCCCCUCGCCCCGCCGCGGCCGCCGGGUUGCCCCGCACAGACCCGCGCUCUCCGCGCCUCCCUCAGCGCGCUGCGGCCGCUCUCCAAUAGCUCCACGAGGGGGCGCUCGAGCGCCGCCACCCAACGGCUCCCGGAAAGCCGGAAAAAGGGAAAGGUGGGAAAGGCUUCCUUGGCUUUCUCUGUCAGCAGCUUGUAUGCUUUCUGGGCUCCUUGUCAGCUCCCUAAGGAAGAGCUGACCAUGGGUCAGAAAGCCAGCAAACCUGAGAGAGUACUGGAGGUGAUGACAGUAGCAGAAAGAGCAUCCGUCCUUCUGCAGCUCAGAAGCAGUAGCAGUGGCAGGUAAAGGCACCAGCACACCCUGGCUGCCAUGUCCGUGAUGCUUGGAUGCUGUCUGAAACCCUCCUUCAUAACUGCUGAGCAUCUACAGUUUUUAAGCAAACAGUGAAAUGCUGAACAACUGUACGACAUGAAUAGUUGUAGGCUACCUGUAAGCAGCAAUUCUUCAGUAUAGCUCUAAGCACGUAUAUUUCCUUUGCAAUAAAUGCUACCUAAUAGAUUAGCCCA